rnacentral:lncRNA from 1 species
UCACCUCGGAGACCGUUCACCACAUUCGCCUACGUUUUCUGUUGCUCACUCAAUAAACGUUACGACGGAGACGACCGAAGCCACAACGAGACUGUUCAUCUUGUCGGUAUACCUUUUUUUUUAUUUCUGCGAUUCUUUAUCUCUUUUCCUUCUUACUAAUUUCCAUAUAAUGAACUGUUGAGCUUGUUAUAACAUUCACUUAAAAAAAAAUAUAUAUAUAUAUCUAUGAGUUGGUCGUUGUUUUCUCUAAUGAAGAAGAGCAUGUAAGCUCACUUUCAUAUAAGACAAAAAGGCUAUGGAUUAUCUAUUUAUUUAAUUAUUCUUUUUAUUUUUUUCUUUUCAAAACUACACCUUCAUGUAUUUAGUUCCUAAAUAAAUAUAACUAGAAUUACGACCCGCCGCAAUGCGGCGGGGAUUCUUUAGUUAUAACUAAGUCGAUUUAGGACGCGCACGUUAUGUUGAACCUGUCAAACGGGAAAAAAUAGACGAUGUAAAAACGUUCUCACACACACGCACGUUGCGUCGUGUUAACUCGCAAAAUUUAGAACGAAACGUAAAAACGCUAAACCAAAGACGCACGUUGCGAUGUGUCAAGUCACAAAAUUUAUAACAAAGCAUAAAGCGAAAAAAUUGCGGAAAAUGAAAACUAUAAGGGACCAAAGUUGAAAGUGAAAAAAGUUGUGAGGAUAAAUUGCAAAAGAUAAAAAGUUUUGUGUUAAAAGUAAAAAAACAAAUAGUUUUGGGUUAAAAGUAAUUUAUGAAAUACUUUUGUGUGAAAAGUAAAAAAAAAUCAAUUUUUUAUUGAAAAACCCCCAAAGCUAAGGUUACAACAACCAUAUGCAUAACCAUUUUUUCUUUGAAAAAACCCCAAAGCCAAGAUUACAACACAUAAGUAAAAAAAAAUCAAAGUGGUUAAAUCGCAAAAGAUGGAAACUUUUGAAUUAGAAGUAAAAAAAUCAUAUUAAUCAAAGGGGUUAAAUUACCAAAGAUUAAAACUUUAAACUUAAAUUGUCAAAGAUUAAAACUUUAGGGUUAAAAAGGAAACAAAGAUUAAAAUUUUUAAAUAUAAAUUGUCAAAGAAUAAAACUUUAGGGUAAAUUGUCAAAGAUUAAAAGUUUAGGGUUAAAAAAACAAAGAUUAGAAGUUUAAACUUAAAUUGUUAAACAUUAAAACUUUAGGGUUAAAAAAGAAAAUUUCCUUUUUUUUUGAAACACUCCCAAAGCAAACAUUACAACUCAUAUAUGCAUAAUUAAGUUGCUUCUUUUAUAGUGUUUAAUAUUGGAUAUUGAAUAGUUUGUUUUAAUGAGUAAAACUCGAUAGUUUUGUUAUUUUGAGUUUUGCGCAUCUUCAAGCUUUGUAAAAAAAAUUAAUUUUGUAUGGUUAGAUUUAAAGAAAACAAUGUAACAUUCUAUUUAACUAAUUAGUUGAGUAAAAUAUUUGAAAUGGUUCAACACUAUCAAAACCUUAGAUUUAAUAGAGACUUUUCUACCUUUUGUUAUAUAAUUAAAUUGAUAACUUUAUUUUUAUAGAAAACUAUUUCACAAACUGUUUGUUAUAAAUAAGUAUAAUAUCAAAAUAAUUAAAUUGUAAAUCAUAAACUUUAGGGACUAUAUUUAACCUACGAAUGUUAACGAGUUCGUUAUGAAUUUAUUUAACUAAGACAUUCACGUAUUUCAUAUCUAGGAUAAUCUCUCUUGUUCAUUCUUUUGGAUUUUCCAAUCUUACUCGUGCGUUACUUACAAGAAAUCGCAAACUCAACCAAUGUUGAUUAUUGAAGUAUGGAUGAUUGAUGAAACAAGUUUAGGAUGGACUAGAUACACACUUAAAUUUAUCUAUCUUUUGUUGUUAUGAUCUUUGUUGAAACAAUGUUGUUAUCUCCUUUUGAAUUUGUAUGACAUUUAGUAUUGCAAUGAAAUUUGAAUUAAAUUAAAUAUUGUCACAUAGUGUUAUGACGUCUCUAGCAAUCUACACACACUUCGUCUCAUCCCGAUGUUUCCGCCAUCGGUUGGGAUUGAGAAGUUGAACG